rnacentral:rRNA from 1 species
AAUGAACGCUGGCGGCAGGCUUAACACAUGCAAGUCGAACGAGUGGAGGACGGGCGAGUAAUGCUUGGGAAUCUAGCUAAUGGAGGGGGAUAACUACGGGAAACUGUAGCAAAUACCGCGUACCAUAGGAUGAGCCCACGCGGGAUUAGGGAGUUGGGGAGGUAAAGGCUCACAAAGCCGACGAUCACUAGCUGGUCAGAGAGGUUGACCGGCCACACGGUGACUGUGACACGGCCCAGACUCCUACGGGAGGCAGCAGUGGGGAAUAUUGCGCAAUGGGGGCAACCUGACGCAGCCAUGCCGCGUGGAUGAAGAAGGCCUUCGGGUUGUAAAGUUCUUUCGGUAGCGAGGCGUUAACUACAGAAGAAGUACCGGCUAACUCCGUGCCAGCAGCCGCGGUAAUUC